rnacentral:rRNA from 1 species
GACGAACGCUGGCGGCGUGCCUAAUACAUGCAAGUCGAACGCAGUGGGGACGGGUUAGUAACACGUGGGUAACCUCCCAUCAGAGGUGAUAACACUUGGAAACAGGUGCUAAACCGAUAGUGAUGGAUGGUCCCGCGGUUCAUUAGCUAGUUGGUGGGGUAACGGAUCACCAAGGCCACGAUGCAUAGCGGACCUGAGAGGGUGAUCGGCAAAACUGGAACUGGGACACGGCCCAGACUCCGACGUGAGGCAGCAGUGGGGAAUAUUGCACAAUGGGCGCAAGCCUGAUGCAGCCAUGCCGCGUGUAUGAAGAAGGCCUUAGGGUUGUAAAGUACUUUCAGCGGGGAGGCGUUACCCGCAGAAGAAGCGCCGGCUAACUCCGUGCCAGCAGCCGCGGUAAUUC